CUUUCCCGCCAAUAUCAAACUCGCUUUCUAUCACUUUCCCUAGAAAAUUCAACUUGCUAGCUUUCACCCAUCUGAGACAAUCUUAUAAUUUGGAAGUUGUUGAUUUCACAUUUAACAAUUUCUUGAUAUUUUUGGUCAUCAAUCCGAAAAUUAAAUUCAGAGUUUGCUAGCUUUCAAGAAUCUGAUAACUUGGAGGUUGUUGGCUUCACAUUCAGCAAUUUCUUGGUCUUUUUGGUCACCAAUCCGGAUCCAUCAAGAAGAGUAGCUGAUAAUCUCUGAUAUUCCAAGGUCCAAUGGCGGAAAUGCCUAACAGUAACCCUCUUCCACCAGCAACUGCACAUAUGCUUCAGGCUCUUGAAGCCUUUCUGGAUACCCCACCACUUCCUUGUGUGUUCCGCUGUAUCUUUUGCCAUACUCUCAUUGCUCUGGGCCAUAACUUUAUUCAGGAUCUUUAUCCAUUUUCCACGGCUCAGCUCCUCUUUGAUUACGUUGUGCAGUACUGGUGUGAAUGUUAGAGAAGGAGACUAUCCAAUGCUAUCAUAUGUAGGUGAAGCUCCGGCAGGGAGUCAGGUGGAUGAGGUUUCUAUCUACUGUAUUUCAUGUGGAAGCUGGCUUGGGUGGAGAAUAAUUCGGCAGUAUGCUUACCACCCUGUAAUCCGUGAAGGCCAAUUUGUACUCACAUGUGGUGGUGGUGCAGGCAUAGAAGUUCUAUUUCCGAUGUAAA